GCCAGGUGUGGUGGCUUACGCCUGUAAUCCCAGCCCUUCAGAAGGCUGAGGCAGGAGGAUCACUUGAGCCCCGGAGUUCAAGGCUGCAGUAGGCCAUGAUUCCGCUACUGCACUCCAGCCUGGGCAACAGAGUGAGACCCUGUCUCUG
rnacentral:SRP_RNA from 1 species